rnacentral:rRNA from 1 species
AUGCAAUUAAGCGACAGCUCCGAGUCAGAGGAUGACACCGGCGCCAGUAACCCGGUGAUUGAAGAGGUAAUGUCACUUUCCUCCGACUCGGAGCCCUUGCCACAGCUAAAAGUCCGAAGGGUAACCCGGAAAGUAAGCUUUUCACAUCCUUUAGCUCAUCAAGACCCUCAAUUUCUUUUGAAGCGACAGGUUCACGAAAGCCGGCGUCACACCCGGACUAACAAGGACACCGAUCUCUCCGCCGGGUUACCCGACGCAACAAGGAAGCGUCGCACUGAGGAGACCUCCCCCUCUUCGGGUGACUCCAUGCAGUCAAAUCUGCCGGCCUUCAAGACUGCGCCCGGUGCCCAGGCAAAGCUCACCAAAAGAGCGAAGAAGACCAGGUCAGCCGGAGUGCCAGACUUACCUGACCCGGAGGCGAUGGCUCAAGAGCCGCCAACUGCCUCCGCCCCCGAAGCAACCACUCCAAUGGACACGGCACCUGAGGCCCCUGCCCUGACUACCAAGGGAAUGACCGAAGCUUCGGUUAACCCAGAGGCCUCCGGCUCAGCUCCACCAGCAGACGACCCGGACGUGGUAAUCACCCGGACGGAAUUCGUUGAGCCGGGGAGACCGACCGCGUUGGCCAAAUGCUCCGCAAAGGGGGAGUUGCUGCAGCCCCACCGGGUGAACCUGGACCUCUCCGGCUACACCGACUUGAGCAUUGGAGAGCUCGUCUCUGGCUACAUCAGCCAAGUACACAAGAGCCGGGACGCCGAGGUUGCCAUGGUCAACCAGAUUCAACAAAAAUCUGAGGCUGUUGGCAAGAAACUAGAGGCGGAUCUUGCGGAUCUCAAGAGCCGGCUGAAGAUGCAGGAGAUGGAGACCCGGAAGGCAAAUGCCAAGUUUGUAUCCAGCAUCGCCACUCAAGAAAAAUUGAAGACCGAGUUUGAUGCUGAGAGGAAAGCCUGGGUCGAAGAGAAGGCCGCACUGGUGACCCGAGCGGAACAGGCGGAGAAGGCUCUCGCUGAGAAGACCGCCGAGCUCUCUGGCCUAAAGCGCCAGGUUUCCCAAAUGGUGGCCGCUAUCUUCGGUCCCAGGAGUGCCAACCUCAACCAGAGCGUGGUCACCAAGUUAAAGGCCGUGUACACCCUGGUGGAACAGCUCUACACCGGGUCACAGCGUGCCUUAGCUGUGGUGGCCCUAUCCAACGAGGUGCCAACUCAUCUGGCCGAAGUCCUGCGCCGGCUUGCUGUUCUGCCGCAGCGGAUCCAGGAGCUACGACGGGCCUCCGCGAGAGCCGGAGCAAUCGCCGCGCUGAGCCGGGCCAAAGCAUUCCUGCCAGAGCUAGACCCGGCAGACAUCGCCCUGGGUUACCCAAGCCUGAAGGAAGACGGCUCAGCCUUCGACCAGAAGGACUUCGCGGCAUGUGUGAAGGCUGUACGCCCGGUGGCCACCCUCAUCGGGAACGACACCGACUUGACCAAGUACCAGCCGGGUUAUGAUGCGGAGAAUCAGAGGAUUCCAACCCCUCGCUAUGAAGCCCUCAAUCUGACCCCUCCGGCUCGUCAGCACACCUUCGCCCCGGAGAUUGACCCGGCCGGGUUAAUUGAUGAAGAAGCCCAGUUCGAAGCUCUCAGCGGCAUCGACUGGAAAUCAUCAACCUUCGAGGUCUUGGGAUCAGCCGGAGGAGAAGACAGGAAUGAGUCGGGGACUUCAACUCAGCGGGCAUCAUAA